rnacentral:rRNA from 1 species
CACGUAGGCGGUCCACUAAGUUGGAUGUGAAAGCCCCGGGCUCAACCCGGGAAGUGCAUACAAAAACUGGUGGACUUGAAUAUGGAAGAGGGUCGCGGAAUUCCCGGUGUAGAGGUGAAAUUCGUAGAUAUCGGGAGGAACACCAGUGGCGAAGGCGGCGACCUGGGCCAAUAUUGACGCUGAGGUGCGAAAGCGUGGGGAGCAAACA